rnacentral:miRNA from 1 species
GUAGUAUGUGUGUGUAUGGGUGUGUGUAUGUGUGUGAGCACAUGCAUACAUACACACAUACACUCAUGUGCAUAUGCAUA